CAAGGAAUAGUUUAUAAAAAUAAUAAUUUUGGGGAUUAUAGAUAAAGAAAUUUCUUUUUCUUUGA
rnacentral:tRNA from 2 species